rnacentral:rRNA from 1 species
AGCGAACGUUAGCGGCGGGCCUAACACAUGCAAGCCGAGCGAGAAAGAGGCUUCGGCCAUCAGUAAAGCGGCGGACGGGUGAGUAACACGUAGGUAAUCUUCCCUUGAGCGGGGGACAACGAGCCGAAAGGCUCGCUAAUACCCCAUACGUUCCCAGAGACCCUGGUCUUUGGGAGGAAAGCUAGGUAGCAAUAUCCGGCCCUCGAGGCGGAGCCUGCGUCGCAUCAGCUAGUUGGUGGGGUAACGGCCUACCAAGGCGAAGACGCGUAGCUGGUCUGAGAGGAUGAUCAGCCACACUGAAACUGAGACACGGUUCAGACUCCUACGGGAGGCAGCAGUGGGGAAUAUUGGACAAUGGGCGCAAGCCUGAUCCAGCCACGCCGCGUGAGUGAUGAAGGCCUUCGGGUCGUAAAGCUCUGUGGGGAGGGACGAACCGCUGUCGGUUAAUACCCGGCAGCAUGACGGUACCUCCUUAGCAAGCACCGGCUAACUUCGUGCCAGCCGCCGCCGUAA